CACAUGCAGUCGAACGAAGCACUUUAUUUGAUUUCCUUCGGGACUGAUUAUUUUGUGACUGAGUGGCGGACGGGUGAGUAACGCGUGGGUAACCUGCCUUGUACAGGGGGAUAACAGUUGGAAACGGCUGCUAAUACCGCAUAAGCGCACGGCAUCGCAUGAUGCAGUGUGAAAAACUCCGGUGGUAUAAGAUGGACCCGCGUUGGAUUAGCUAGUUGGUGAGGUAACGGCCCACCAAGGCGACGAUCCAUAGCCGACCUGAGAGGGUGACCGGCCACAUUGGGACUGAGACACGGCCCAAACUCCUACGGGAGGCAGCAGUGGGGAAUAUUGCACAAUGGGCGAAAGCCUGAUGCAGCGACGCCGCGUGAGCGAAGAAGUAUUUCGGUAUGUAAAGCUCUAUCAGCAGGGAAGAUAAUGACGGUACCUGACUAAGAAGCACCGGCUAAAUACGUGCCAGCAGCCGCGGUAAUACGUAUGGUGCAAGCGUUAUCCAGAUUUACUGGGUGUAAAGGGAGCGCAGGCGGUGCGGCAAGUCUGAUGUGAAAGCCCGGGGCUCAACCCCGGUACUGCAUUGGAAACUGUCGUACUAGAGUGUCGGAGGGGUAAGCGGAAUUCCUAGUGUAGCGGUGAAAUGCGUAGAUAUUAGGAGGAACACCAGUGGCGAAGGCGGCUUACUGGACGAUAACUGACGCUGAGACUCGAAAGCGUGGGGAGCAAACAGGAUUAGAUACCCUGGUAGUCCACGCCGUAGACGAUGAAUACUAGGUGUUGGGAAGCAUUGCUUCUCGGUGCCGUCGCAGACGCAGUAAGUAUUCCACCUGGGGAGUACGUUCGCAAGAAUGAAACUCAGAGGAAUUGCC
rnacentral:rRNA from 1 species